UCUCUCUUGGCGUUGUCACACUCCAUGCCGUCGCACUCCAUCGUCGCCGAUCCAUGCCACGUCCCGAUCCUUACUUCGCCAUCGUUCUCCACCUCGCCACGCCGCAGUUAGGACUUGCCGUUAACCUCACCACACCGUUGCACUCCACCUCACCUCACCUCACCUCGCCGAUAACCUCACUACUGCUAUUGUUGUUGCUUCCAUCGACAGCCACUGGCGACACCUCCAUUGAUAGCCACCAAUGACACCUUCAUCUCCUCCAAAGAUCUGAUUCCAUCGACAGCCACCACAAAGUCUGACGAAAGUUCUCAAGAAACAAUAGGAGGAAAGGAGAGCCAAAGAAGGGAAUACAGGCGAAACCAUAAGAACUGGUAAAGUUGGAGGCCUAGACUUGAGUAGUUUCACUUGGCAAUUUCCAACUGCGUCAGAAGGUUAAACAUUAUUUGUUUAUGGUUACUUUGGAUUUCUUUGGUAGAGGUGUGUGCUGGCUUGAGUAUAGUAAGUAACUUCUUAUUAAAUUCUUGUAAGCAUUAUAUAUUGUUUUGUUGGGAAUUGGUAUUAUGGAGGGUUGUUGUGUUGGAGCAAGCGGGUGACUUGCCUGGUGUCAUAAGGUGGUUUAAAUUCAUAUUGGGAGUGUUUCUUAUUUAUUGGAAUUGUGAAUAGAUAUUGUUGAUUUAUAUGUGAUAGAUAUUAUUUAAUUGUUUUCAAUACUUGUAAGCAUUAUAUAUUGUGAUGUUGAUGAUUGGCAUUGUGGUGGGUUGUUGAAAUGGAGCAAGUGGGUGGCUUGCAUGGUGUUAUAAGGUGGUAUAAAUUGAUAUUGGGAGUGUUUGAUUGUGCAAUGUAUAUUUGUUUAAGUAUUAAUAUAGACUCCCAAUAUAGAAAGAGGCUUAUAUUUGUGAAGGUCAAAGACCAAAGCUUAGCCAACAAAUCAGAUUGUUUAGGGAAGAAGAAAAUUACUUCUCGCGUUGAUCGCCGAAUGGUUAGUGCUGCCGAGAAAGAAUCAAUUUCUCCACAGCCCCAUCAAAUCAAUAAGUAAGAUAAACAAAAACCCAUAUGAAAUUUGAAAGGAAAAUUCUUAAUUUCUCUAAGGAAAUGUGAGAACUUGAAUGCAAAGUUUGUAAA